rnacentral:rRNA from 1 species
CCUACGGGAGGCAGCAGUGGGGAAUAUUGCACAAUGGGCGCAAGCCUGAUGCAGCCAUGCCGCGUGUGUGAAGAAGGCCUUCGGGUUGUAAAGCACUUUCAGCGGGGAGGAAGGCGUUAAGGUUAAUAACCUUGGCGAUUGACGUUACCCGCAGAAGAAGCACCGGCUAACUCCGUGCCAGCAGCCGCGGUAAUACGGAGGGUGCAAGCGUUAAUCGGAAUUACUGGGCGUAAAGCGCACGCAGGCGGUCUGUCAAGUCGGAUGUGAAAUCCCCGGGCUCAACCUGGGAACUGCAUUCGAAACUGGCAGGCUAGAGUCUUGUAGAGGGGGGUAGAAUUCCAGGUGUAGCGGUGAAAUGCGUAGAGAUCUGGAGGAAUACCGGUGGCGAAGGCGGCCCCCUGGACAAAGACUGACGCUCAGGUGCGAAAGCGUGGGGAGCAAACAGGGUUAGAUACCCGGGUAGUC